AGAUCAGGCCUUUCAGGCAUCCUCUCCCAAACUUAAAUGGCCCGGCGGCCUGUCUGCCGGGCCUUUUUUCUUGCCCGC
rnacentral:sRNA from 1 species